UACGAAGGGUGCAAGCGUUACUCGGAAUUACUGGGCGUAAAGCGUGCGUAGGUGGUGAGUUAAGUCUGUCGUGAAAGCCCCGGGCUCAACCUGGGAAUGGCGAUGGAUACUGGCUCGCUAGAGUGCGGUAGAGGGUGGUGGAAUUCCCGGCGUAGCAGUGAAAUGCGUAGAGAUCGGGAGGAACAUCAGUUGCGAAGGCGGCCACCUGGACCAGCACUGACACUGAGGCACGAAAGCGUGGGGAGCAAACAGG
rnacentral:rRNA from 1 species